CCUACGGGAGGCAGCAGUAGGGAAUAUUGGGCAAUGGAGGCAACUCUGACCCAGCCAUGCCGCGUGCAGGAUGAAGGCGUUAUGCGUUGUAAACUGCUUUUAUAUAGGAAGAAAGAGUUCUUGCGAGAACAGUUGACGGUACUAUAUGAAUAAGCACCGGCUAACUCCGUGCCAGCAGCCGCGGUAAUACGGAGGGUGCAAGCGUUGUCCGGAUUUAUUGGGUUUAAAGGGUGCGUAGGCGGUUUAUUAAGUCAGUGGUGAAAGACGGUCGCUCAACGAUUGCAGUGCCAUUGAUACUGGUAGACUUGAGUGAGAUUGAGGUAGCUGGAAUGGAUAGUGUAGCGGUGAAAUGCAUAGAUAUUAUCCAGAACACCAAUUGCGUAGGCAAGUUACUAAGUCUCAACUGACGCUGAGGCACGAAAGUGUGGGUAUCAAACAGGAUUAGAUACCCUGGUAGUCCACACUGUAAACGAUGAUAACUAACUGUUGGUUUUCGAAUCAGUGGUACAGAGAAAUCGUUAAGUUAUCCACCUGGGGAGUACGCCGGCAACGGUGAAACGUCAAAUGAAUUGACGG
rnacentral:rRNA from 1 species